GAUGAACGCUGGCGGCGUGCCUAAUACAUGCAAGUCGAGCGAACAGACGAGGAGCUUGCUCCUCUGACGUUAGCGGCGGACGGGUGAGUAACACGUGGAUAACCUACCUAUAAGACUGGGAUAACUUCGGGAAACCGGAGCUAAUACCGGAUAAUAUAUUGAACCGCAUGGUUCAAUAGUGAAAGACGGUUUUGCUGUCACUUAUAGAUGGAUCCGCGCCGCAUUAGCUAGUUGGUAAGGUAACGGCUUACCAAGGCGACGAUGCGUAGCCGACCUGAGAGGGUGAUCGGCCACACUGGAACUGAGACACGGUCCAGACUCCUACGGGAGGCAGCAGUAGGGAAUCUGCCGCAAUGGGCGAAAGCCUGACGGAGCAACGCCGCGUGAGUGAUGAAGGUCUUCGGAUCGUAAAACUCUGUUAUUAGGGAAGAACAAAUGUGUAAGUAACUGUGCACGUCUUGACGGUACCUAAUCAGAAAGCCACGGCUAACUACGUG
rnacentral:rRNA from 1 species